rnacentral:rRNA from 1 species
GACAGAGGUCCCGAGCGUUAGGCGGAAUCACUGGGCUUAAAAGCGUGUGUAGGCGGAUGCCUAAGUACCUUGUGAAAUCCCACGGCUCACCCGUGGAACUGCUCGGUAUACUGGGUGUCUUGAGCCACUUAGGGGCUACCGGAACAAAUGGUGGAGCGGUGAAAUGCGUAGAUAUCAUUUGGAACGCCAAUGGUGAAAACAGGUAGCUGGGAGUGUGCUGACGCUGAGACACGAAAGCCAGGGGAGCAAACGGG